GGAAGUAAAAGUCGUAACAAGAUCUCCGUUGGUGAACCAGCGGAGGGAUCAUUACUGGAAUCGCAAGAUCCCACAACCCUGUGAACCUACCGAAACGUUGCCUCGGCGGGUGCCCGGCCCCCGCGCCGGGCGCUGCGCCCGCCGGCGGCCCCCUACUCUGUCUCUGCAGCGUGGCAUCUCAGAGUCCCAGAAAACAAGUCAAAACUUUCAACAACGGAUCUCUUGGCUCUA
rnacentral:misc_RNA from 1 species